rnacentral:tRNA from 1 species
CCUCCUAUGGCUCAGUGGUAGAGCGUGUCAUUAGUAAUGACAAGGUCCUCGGUUCCCGAGUAAGGGCA